rnacentral:rRNA from 1 species
CAGCAGCCGCGGGAAUACGAAGGGGGCUAGCGUUGCUCGGAAUGACUGGGCGUAAAGGGCGCGUAGGCGGUUCACGCAGUCAGAUGUGAAAUUCCUGGGCUUAACCUGGGGGCUGCAUUUGAGACGCGUGGGCUUGAGUGUGAAAGAGGGUCGUGGAAUUCCCAGUGUAGAGGUGAAAUUCGUAGAUAUUGGGAAGAACACCGGUGGCGAAGGCGGCGACCUGGUUCACAACUGACGCUGAGGCGCGAAAGCGUGGGGAGCAAACAGGAUUAGAUACCCCUGUAGUCCCUGUCUCUUAUAC